UACAGAGGUCUCAAGCGUUGUUCGGAUUCAUUGGGCGUAAAGGGUGCGUAGGCGGUAGGGUAAGUCUGGUGUGAAAUCUUGGAGCUCAACUCCAAAAUUGCACUGGAUACUGCUCUGCUAGAGGACUGGAGAGGAGAUUGGAAUUCACGGUGUAGCAGUGAAAUGCGUAGAUAUCGUGAGGAAGACCAGUGGCGAAGGCGAAUCUCUGGACAGUUCCUGACGAUGAGGCACGAAGGCCAGGGGAGCAAACGGG
rnacentral:rRNA from 1 species